rnacentral:sRNA from 1 species
AAAUAAAAAAAGCCAGAUAAAUCAUUUAUCUGGCUUAGGGAAAUGGCUCAUUUUGAGCCGUGCGCUAAAAAGUAAAAUGUUGCUUACGGCAUAAACAAAAAUCGAGAACUCACUCAGACUUUCUCAGACUUUUCUAUCUCACAACCUACUGUUAAAUAUUAGCUAACAAUAUGUAAAAAUCCAGUAA